rnacentral:rRNA from 1 species
UAAAGGGGGGACUGCGUGGCUGCAGCGGAUAUACGAAUUCCCCCCUACCCGCUGAACUUACGCAUAUCAAUAAGCGGAGAGAAAAACAAACUAUAUCACAGGUAUUCCCCUAGUAUCUGCCAGUGAAGCGGGAAAAGCUCAAUUUUAAAAUCCGGCGUUCCUUUGGUCGUCCGAGUUGUAGUCUGGAGAAGUGUUUUUCGCGCUGGCCCGUGUGCAAGUCCGCUUGGAAUAGGGCGUCAUAGAGUCGUGAGAAUCCCGUCUUUGACAUGGACUACCAGUGCUUUGUGAUGCGCUCUCAAAGAGUCGAGUUGCGUGCGAAUGCAGCUCAAAAUGGGUGGUAAAUUCCAUCUAAAGCUAAAUACAGGCGAGAGACCGAUAGCGAACAAGCACCGUGAGGGAAAGAUGAAAAGCACUUUGAAAAGAGAGUUAAACAGUACGUGAAAUUGCUGAAAGAGGAAACACUUGAGCGUCAGUCGCAUCUGCUAGGACUCAGUCUCGCUUCUGCUUGCUGUACCUUCUAGUUUGACGGGCCAGAAUCGAUUUUAGACCGUUGCAAAAAGGCUGAUCGAAUGUGGCACCUUUGGGUGCGCGAUACACCUCUAUCGCAUACGACCGCUUGCAUCGAGUACUGCUGCAAGCCUCUAUGUCCGAAGUCCGUCCCACGAACGUGCGUUAGGAUGCUGGCAUAACGGAUUUAAGUGACCCGUCUUUGAAAUACCGGAAGUGUA